CAGAGACAAGAACGAGGUCCGCCCUCCGUUGCUGGGACUUGGACCAACUCCCAGUGUGAAACUCUACGUAAAAGUAUAGACCAUGGAAGCGCAGGCGAUCCAAGUCAAACCACCUAAAACUUUUGGUCUUAUGAUGUCUUUUAACCUUCCACUGAACAGCACAAGUCAUGUGGAGAACCCAAAGUCAAAGGGGGUAGGGGGCCCAUGCUCCGCAUGCCAGUGAGCCAUGGCAAAGACAGGGAAGACGCAGACUCUCGGACAGAUGUUCAUGCAGAGCUCACCUCCACAGGAGUGAUUUCCCAU